GUUUAAUACGCAAACGGACAACAACUGAACGCACAAGAAAAGGCAAGUGGAUUUUUAACAAAGUAAUAUUUGACAGAUGUCAAAGUCAUGUUUUGAAUAAAUAAUUUUCAUUCAUGUUGUUCACUGCUAAAAUCCCUUUUUUGAAUUUUUAAAGUGUUUUGAGAUAUGAGAUCUACGUAAUGAGGUUAAUAUUUUUAGAUUUUUCGGUAAUUUGAUGAAUACAAAAUAAAAUGAGUGUACUGACAACGAGUUGCUAAUAUUUUUGUUAUAAAAAAAAAUCUUCAUUUUCAAUACCACGAUAAAAGAUAAUUUCUUAGGGUGAUGUUGUGUUGGUCGACUGAUUGGGUGUUCCCUCAGGGUAGGUCACCGUCCUUCACCAAUAAAACUGACUGUCUUGAUGUAGCCAAAAGUGUUUAAAGUUGUGGUAAAUACAAUAAAUAAGUAUUUCGAAUAAUUCUUUGCUUUUAUUACAGAACCUACAAAAGUAUCUCGAAUAAUUCUUUGAUUUUAUUACAGGAUCUACAAAAAUGAAGCAUUAUAUGCCUAUGAUAUUUGUAUUCAUCAUACUUAAUGCAAGUAUAGCCAGUAGCACCAGGACAUGCUCACAAUGUUCAUUUUUUCUACAGUUGUGUCUCCAGCAGUGUUCAGACACAACAGACGCGCUUAUUGGACUUAUAGGUCGAAAGAGAGAACAACCGAAAGAACGUAAUAACAAGAGGGAUUGUUUUACAUCGUGUUCAUACAAUAGCGAUAGCUGCAGGAGAGAUUGCAUUUGAUCUACACAGAGGAAAAUAAAAAAUAUUUAUGACCAAAAGAUGUUUGGCUUUCAAUACAUACUUUUUCAGGUGAAGUGUGAUAAUAUAAACGUUAUGGCUGACACUAAUUAAUCAAUUUGGAUCUGA
rnacentral:lncRNA from 1 species